rnacentral:rRNA from 1 species
AAUGAACGUUGGCGGCGUGGAUUAGGCAUGCAAGUCGUGCGGAAAGGCCCCGCAAGGGGCACUCGAGCGGCGAAAGGGAUAGUAACACGUGGAUUACCUACCUCCAGGACGGGGAUAGCUGCGGGAAACUGCAAUUAAUACCCGAUGACGUCUUCGGACCAAAGGUGUGAUUCCGCCCGGAGACGGGUCCGCGUCCUAUUAGCUAGUUGGCAGGGUAACGGCCUACCAAGGCUCAGAUGGGUAGCGGGUGUGAGAGCACGACCCGCAUCACUGGGACUGAGACACUGCCCAGACACCUACGGGUGGCUGCAGUCGAGGAUCUUCGGCAAUGGGCGAAAGCCUGACCGAGCGACGCCGCGUGCGGGAUGAAGGCCUUCGGGUUGUAAACCGCUGUCAGUGGGGAGGAAAUACUGGUGGGAACACCCUCCAGUUUGACCUAUCCGCAGAGGAAGGACGGGCUAAGUUCGUGCCAGCAGCCGCGGUAAAAC